CUCCUCCUCAGGAUCCUCGCUCUUACAAAGAGAGGCCUUCGCUCUCGCUCCUCCUCACGAUCCUCGCUCUUACAAAGAGAGGCCUUCGCUCUCGCUCCUCCUCAGGAUCCUCGCUCUUACAAAGAAAGGCCUUCGCUUUCAGAUUCCUUGGGAGUCGACGCGCAUUUCAUGGAGGCCGGGUUUUCAAAACGUGAAUACUUCUGCUCGUCGUUUUGUUACCAGAAAGCCUUAAACACACACACACUCUCAC